CAACGUGAUCACCUUUAUUUGAGUGAUCUAUUGAAGUUUUUAACAUUUUUUGUCGUUUUAUCACACGACAGAGAUUCAAAUUGAUAUCCCCCAGUAAAAGGAGAUCUUUGUCAAUUUUCGGAGUCUAUGUUUGAGCGAAAAUUACGUCGACGAAGGGGAAAUUCGUUACAUUUUAUAAGUCGCCAAGUGUGAAGGCACAUUGCUCAAGGGUUGUUGUUGUUGAAGUGUUGUUAAACAGAACAAUUCUUUGUGUGCUCCAUACAGCUGACAGAAAAAGCAGGAUGAAGAUGAGGAAUGUCAAGCCAUUGAAAAUUUAUAUUCAAUCAUCUUUAAAUCACAAGAAUUUCGGACAUAAUUUGAAUCACAGCCAUCCUCAAGUUCAAGAAAUUACAAAAGAAGAACAGACAGAUUAAAGUUUAAUGGGGAAGAUGGUGGUACAGUUACAUCAGGUGAGCGGUGUGGCACUAUGUAUAUUAUUGUUUGGGUAUGUAUUUAACUAUACAUUUACUCAUCUACAUCUACUCACCUUAAGUUGUAAAGCACUCACCCUUACUUUUACACCACUCACCCUUCCUUUUACAAUACUCACACUUACUUUUAGAAGACUCACCCUUACUUUUAGAGGCCUCACCCUUACUUUUAGAGACUCACCAUUACUUUUAGAGGACUCACCCUUACUUUUAGAA